AAUCCAUAGGUUAAUGAGGCGAACCGGGGGAACUGAAACAUCUAAGUACCCCGAGGAAAAGAAAUCAACCGAGAUUCCCCCAGUAGCGGCGAGCGAACGGGGAGGAGCCCAGAGCCUGAAUCAGCAUGUGUGUUAGUGGAAGCGUCUGGAAAGGCGCGCGAUACAGGGUGACAGCCCCGUACACAAAAGCGCAUGUGCUGUGAGCUCGAUGAGUAGGGCGGGACACGUGGUAUCCUGUCUGAAUAUGGGGGGACCAUCCUCCAAGGCUAAAUACUCCUGACUGACCGAUAGUGAACCAGUACCGUGAGGGAAAGGCGAAAAGAACCCCGGCGAGGGGAGUGAAAAAGAACCUGAAACCGUGUACGUACAAGCAGUGGGAGCACCCUUUGGGUGUGACUGCGUACCUUUUGUAUAAUGGGUCAGCGACUUAUAUUCUGUAGCAAGGUUAACCGAAUAGGGGAGCCGGAGGGAAACCGAGUCUUAACCGGGCGUUAAGUUGCAGGGUAUAGACCCGAAACCCGGUGAUCUAGCCAUGGGCAGGUUGAAGGUUGGGUAACACUAACUGGAGGACCGAACCGACUAAUGUUGAAAAAUUAGCGGAUGACCUGUGGCUGGGGGUGAAAGGCCAAUCAAACCGGGAGAUAGCUGGUUCUCCCCGAAAGCUAUUUAGGUAGCGCCUCGUGAAUUCAUCUCCGGGGGUAGAGCACUGUUUCGGCUAGGGGGCCAUCCCGGCUUACCAACCCGAUGCAAACUGCGAAUACCGGAGAAUGUUAUCACGGGAGACACACGGCGGGUGCUAACGUCCGUCGUGAAGAGGGAAACAACCCAGACCGCCAGCUAAGGUCCCAAAGUCAUGGUUAAGUGGGAAACGAUGUGGGAAGGCCCAGACAGCCAGGAUGUUGGCUUAGAAGCAGCCAUCAUUUAAAGAAAGCGUAAUAGCUCACUGGUCGAGUCGGCCUGCGCGGAAGAUGUAACGGGGCUAAACCAUGCACCGAA
rnacentral:rRNA from 1 species